rnacentral:rRNA from 1 species
UACGGAGGAUCCGAGCGUUAUCCGGAUUUAUUGGGUUUAAAGGGUGCGCAGGCGGGAAAUUAAGUCGGCGGUGAAAUUUUGCAGCUCAACUGUAAAAGUGCCUUCGAAACUGGUUUCCUUGAGUGUAGAUGAAGUAGGCGGAAUUUGUGGUGUAGCGGUGAAAUGCUUAGAUAUUACACAGAACACCGAUUGCGGAGGCAGCUUGCUGGGUCAUUACUGACGCUGAUGCACGAAAGCGUGGGGAUCAAACAGGAUUAGAUACCCUGGUA